GUCUAGGUAGUGCAAUCGAUUAGCACAACCGACUGGACAUCUGUAGAUGCGAGUUCAAGUCCCGCCUGAGGUU
rnacentral:tRNA from 1 species